CUGCCUUCCUGGUGCACUUUUUGGAGAACGUGGUGGAAUCAGAGGUUUCUGGCUGACUCGGUGGGUGCUUUGAACCAGGAAAGGACAAGAAAGAGGUGCCACCUCCUGAGUCCUGGUUCCUGCGGCUCCGUCGAAUCUGCAGUGAAGGCCUUUGGGAAGCGUGGGUUAUGUGGGUCCAGGGGGCCCACCCUCCCGUGGAGGCCCUUGACCUGAGGAUCACUAACUCACACCCCACCGACCUCUGGCCCCCAACAAGGGCAGUGUUCCUCUUGCUCCAUUCUGCUCUGAAGUCCCCCAAACCGCUUCCUGGGGCUGCUUAGUGAAAUACAAGUCUCAUCUCUGAGGACCUCUACAGGGCUGGAUGGGAAGGACUGAUCCACAUUCCUACCAGGAAGUUUAACGGAACCCCCGCGUGCCACCUGGACCCCCUGGAAGGACCUGGCUAAGGCUGGACCACCUCUUGAGAGGCAGGAGCUCCGGAUUUGAUCAAGAAUUCUUUGCUGAGCAUGGUGCCUCAUGCCUAUAAUCCCAACACUUU
rnacentral:lncRNA from 1 species